GGGAUGCAGCUCCAGCUCUCACUCGACAUCCCUGCAUGGCACGAAGGUCACCAUUACCCGAAGGAAAUCUGGACAUUCUUCAUCCACUUUCGUAGCAGUGAGC
rnacentral:lncRNA from 1 species